GAUGAACGCUAGCGGCAGGCUUAACACAUGCAAGUCGAGCGGGGUGAUGGCGCUUGCACUAUCACUUAGCGGCGGACGGGUGAGUAAUGCUUAGGAAUCUGCCUAUUAGUGGGGGACAACAUCUCGAAAGGGAUGCUAAUACCGCAUACGUCCUACGGGAGAAAGCAGGGGAUCACUUGUGACCUUGCGCUAAUAGAUGAGCCUAAGUCGGAUUAGCUAGUUGGUGGGGUAAAGGCCUACCAAGGCGACGAUCUGUAGCGGGUCUGAGAGGAUGAUCCGCAACACUGGGACUGAGACACGGCCCAGACUCCUACGGGAGGCAGCAGUGGGGAAUAUUGGACAAUGGGGGGAACCCUGAUCCAGCCAUGCCGCGUGUGUGAAGAAGGCCUUAUGGUUGUAAAGCACUUUAAGCGAGGAGGAGGCUCUUUUGGUUAAUACCCAAGAUGAGUGGACGUUACUCGCAGAAUAAGCACCGGCUAACUCUGUGCCAGCAGCCGCCGUAA
rnacentral:rRNA from 1 species